rnacentral:misc_RNA from 1 species
GAUGAAGAACGCAGCGAAAUGCGAUAAGUAGUGUGAAUUGCAGAAUUCAGUGAAUCAUCGAAUCUUUGAACGCACAUUGCGCCCUUUGGUAUUCCAAAGGGCAUGCCUGUUCGAGCGUCAUUUGUACCCUCAAGCUAUGCUUGGUGUUGGGCGUCUUGUCUCUAGCUUUGCUGGAGACUCGCCUUAAAGUAAUUGGCAGCCGGCCUACUGGUUUCGGAGCGCAGCACAAGUCGCACUCUCUAUCAGCAAAGGUCUAGCAUCCAUUAAGCCUUUUUUUCAACUUUUGACCUCGGAUCAGGUAGGGAUACCCGCUGAACUUAAGCAUAUCAAUAAGCGGAGGAU